GGAGUUAGCCGGUGCUUCUUCUGUGAGUGAUGUCCUUCCUGCCGGCUAUUAACCCGCAGGCCUUCUUCCUCACUGAAAGUGCUUUACAACCCGAAGGCCUUCUUCACACACGCGGCAUGGCUGGAUCAGGGUUGCCCCCAUUGUCCAAUAUUCCCCACUGCUGCCUCCCGUAGGAGUCUGGGCCGUGUCUCAGUCCCAGUGUGGCUGAUCAUCCUCUCAGACCAGCUACGGAUCGUCGCCUUGGUGAGCCGUUACCUCACCAACCAGCUAAUCCGACAUAGGCUCAUCCGAUAGCGCGAGGCCCGAAGGUCCCCCGCUUUCCCCCGUAGGGCGUAUGCGGUAUUAGCCUGGGUUUCCCCAGGUUAUCCCCCACUACCCGGGCAGAUUCCUAUGCAUUACUCACCCGUCCGCCGCUCGCCACCAGGGAGCAAGCUCCCCGUGCUGCCGCUCGACUUGCAUGUGUUAGGCCUGCCGCCAGCGUUCAAUCUGAGCCAUAAUCAAACUCUGA
rnacentral:rRNA from 1 species